rnacentral:lncRNA from 1 species
UUUUUAUGAUAGUUGGGUGAAGGUCUCUUCUUCUGGAGCUGCUUCCUGCUGACAAGGGGUGAAGAUCGGGGUUAGACCUGGAUCUGAUGAGGCCCAUGGAUGUGUAGCCUAUCUUUCAGGAAGGGAAUCAGAGACCUUGGCAUUCCCUGUGUUCAAGAUCACUAGUCACUGUCAAUCAGGCCCAUCCGUUCCAAGAAGAAAGAAAAACAUCAUUCUUACACGCCAUGGCCUUUGAAGUGGACCAGCAACUUUCCUGGGUCUCCAGCUUGCAGACUGCAGAUUGUGAGAUUUCCCAGCCUCCAUAAUCAUCACCAUGGCAAGAAAGCGCCACCCUUGAAUGUCCUGCCUACUCAGCUGAAAGCAGCAGCUGUUCCAAUAAGCAAUUUGAUGUUCAGCACCUGAGACUGGCUCCCUCCUUCCAGCAAGACUGCAAGCUCAACAGAAUGUAGGAAAGCACGGACAAGUUUCCUGAUGCAGCAAGGAGAGCAACACAG